rnacentral:rRNA from 1 species
UGGGGAAUUUUGGACAAUGGGCGAAAGCCUGAUCCAGCCAUGCCGCGUGCGGGAAGAAGGCCUUCGGGUUGUAAACCGCUUUAGCUCGGUAAAAAGGGCUGACGUGCUAAUACCGCGUUGGUUUGAUGGUACUGGAAGAAUAAGCACCGGCUAACUACGUGCCAGCAGCCGCGGUAAUACGUAGGGUGCGAGCGUUAAUCGGAAUUACUGGGCGUAAAGCGUGCGCAGGCGGUCUUGUAAGACAGUCGUGAAAGCCCCGGGCUUAACCUGGGGACUGCGAUUGUGACUGCAAGGCUAGAGAGUGUCAGAUGGGGGUGGAAUUCCACGUGUAGCAGUGAAAUGCGUAGCGAUGAAGAGGAACACCGAUGGAGAAAGCAGCCGCCUAGGAUAACAAUGACGGACAUGAGAGAAAGAGUGGGGAGCGAAC